GCGGGCGUGGUGGAAUUGGUAGACACGCCAGACUUAGGAUCUGGUGUCGCGAGACUUGGGGGUUCGAGUCCCUUCGCCCGUA
rnacentral:tRNA from 1 species